rnacentral:rRNA from 1 species
UACAGAGGGGGCAAGCGUUGUUCGGAAUUACUGGGCGUAAAGGGCGCGUAGGCGGCCUUCUAAGUCGAACGUGAAAUCCCUCGGCUCAACCGGGGAACUGCGUCUGAGACUGGAAGGCUUGAAUCCGGGAGAGGGAUGUGGAAUUCCAGGUGUAGCGGUGAAAUGCGUAGAUAUCUGGAGGAACACCGGUGGCGAAGGCGGCAUCCUGGACCGGUAUUGACGCUGAGGCGCGAAAGCCAGGGGGAGCAAACGGG